GCCAUCAAUAGCCCUACUAAUAUUCCCCUAAACUAUUAACCCACUAUACCUAAACCAUUAUUACUAUCUAAGUAUAGGUGAUAGAACAGAUAAUCUUUAGGCGCAAUAACGACAGUACCGCAAGGGAAAUAUGAAAGACCAGAUAAUAGCAUAAAAAAGCAAAGAUUUACCCUUAUACCUUUUGCAUAAUGAUUUAGCCAGUCUAACACGAACAAAAAGACUUUAUACGCUCGUAAUCCCGAAAUUAAGUGAGCUACUAUAAAACAGUUAAAUAAUUGAACCAACUCGUCUAUGUAGCAAAAUAGUGAGAAGAUUUUAUAGUAGAAGUGAAAAACCUAUCGAACUUAAUGAUAGCUGGUUAUCCAAAAAAAGAAUUUUAGUUCAACUUUAAGUUUAACAUUAAGUACUCCUAUCAUCAAACAUAAUUUAGACUUAAAAGAUAAUCAAAAGAGGUACAACUCUUUUGAUCUAGUAAACAAACUCAAUUAGAGGGUAAUGAACAACUAAAACUAUACUUGUAGGCUUAAAAGCAGCCAUCAACUAAGAAAGCGUUAAAGCUCAAAUCAACAUUCAAAUUAAUUCCACAAAAUAACCAAAACCCCUAAUUAACCAUUGGAUGAUUCUAUAAUUUUAUAGAAGACAUAAUGCUAAAAUCAGUAACAAGAAUUCUAUUCUCCACGCAUAAGCUUAUAUUAGUAACGGACUUACCACUAACCAUUAACAAAACAGUAAUAAUAAUCACAAACCAGUGUAUUACCACUCACAUUGUUAACCCAACACAGGCAUGCGAAUACUAACGGAAAGAUUAAAAAGAACAAAAGGAACUCGGCAAACUAAAACCCCGCCUGUUUACCAAAAACAUCACCUCUAGCAUUACAAGUAUUAGAGGCACCGCCUGCCCAGUGAAUUUAUUUUAAACGGCCGCGGUAUCCUGACCGUGCAAAGGUAGCAUAAUCACUUGUCUUCUAAAUAAAGACUUGUAUGAAUGGCAUAACGAGGGUUUAACUGUCUCUUUUUCUUAAUCAGUGAAAUUGACCUUCCCGUGCAGAGGCGGGAAUACCCAUAUAAGACGAGAAGACCCUGUGGAGCUUAAGAUCCAUAAAUUAACAUUACUACAUAUGUUACAUUAGCCCAAGGGCUUAAACUUAAAAUAUUCCUUAAUUAUGAUCUUUGGUUGGGGUGACCUCGGAGAACAAAAUAACCUCCGAAUGAUAUUAACCCAGAUCUACAAAUCUAAGUGCUAAUAGCCAGUAAUUGACCCAUAUAUUGAUCAACGGAACAAGUUACCCCAGGGAUAACAGCGCAAUCCUAUUUAAGAGCCCAUAUCAACAAUAGGGUUUACGACCUCGAUGUUGGAUCAGGACAUCCUAAUGGUGCAACCGCUAUUAAAGGUUCGUUUGUUCAACGAUUAAAGUCCUACGUGAUCUGAGUUCAGACCGGAGAAAUCCAGGUCGGUUUCUAUCUAUAUAAUAAUUUCUCCCAGUACGAAAGGACAAGAGAAAUAAGGCCAACAUAAUAUACGCGCCUUCUAUUCAAUUAAUGAAAUAUAUCUAAAUUAAUUAAUAUACCCUAUUUAUAUACUCUAGAAAAGAGUCC
rnacentral:rRNA from 1 species